rnacentral:tRNA from 1 species
GGAGAUGUACUCAAGAGGUCGUAAGAGGGAGCACUCGAAAUGCUUUAGGUCUCGAGAGAGGCGCGUGGGUUCGACUCCCACCAUCUCCG